rnacentral:rRNA from 1 species
UACGUAGGUGGCAAGCGUUAUCCGGAAUUACUGGGCGUAAAGCGCACGCAGGCGGCGCAUCAAGUUCGACGUGAAAGCUCCCGGCUUAACUGGGAGAGGUCGUUGAAGACUGAUGGGCUUGAGGCAAUGAGAGGGGUGUAGAAUUCCCGGUGUAGUGGUGGAAUGCGUAGAUAUCGGGAAGAACACCCGUGGCGAAGGCGGUUCUCUGGGACGGUACUGACGCUGAGACGCGAAAGCGUGGGGAGCGAACAGG